AUCUUUGAGGUCUAGAAGUUCCAAAUUGUUAUACGUUUUUGUUCCUUCCUCUUAUUCAUAACAAACAUUAAUAAAGCUUCAUAAACUAACCAACGAAGCCUUAUAAUCUCUCUCAGCUUCUCUAUUGUUAGAAAAGUUCACACCUUUUAUUUGAAUGGUAUGAAGACAACAAGUCCUUAUUAAAUCUGUUAUUAAAUGUCCAGCUAUAGCAGUCAUCAGAGUUGUCCCUAAAUGAUGUGGGAGAGGGACGGCCAGACAAGGACAGACAGUGAGGUCUCUGGACAAAGAGUUACCGAAGUAACGGUCAAUAUGGAAAUAUACCGUCUUUGCGUAAAAUAGCUGGAAAAAUAAAAAAUAAAAUAAUAAUUGAGUGAUAUGUUGUGAGUGUUAAUCUAAUGAAUAUACUGUACCUAUGAUGUUGCUUUCUUUGUUGUUGUUUAGUAUUAUUUCGAGGGCGGGACUGAAACUGGAAUGAACAAGGCGCGGCCAAGAAUCCCCUUCACACGUGCAGACAAAGAGCGCCAACAACACAACCCAAAUAUGCACUUUUAAACUUUUCCAAAGGAAACGGACGACUUCCACGAACAUAGGAAAUGCAACGGUGGGUUGAAACCUGUUUCAUUUGAAAAGCUUUUCUUUCUCGGGAGGCCCGAAUUGGGAAAAAGUACCUUGGAGCCGUACCUUUACAACCGGAGUUUAGCAGCAGGUCCUUUGAAUAACCAUCUACACUGUGGCGGAUUUACCCGCGACCUGUACCGGACUCAUCGAAUCGGAAUUGGAUUAUAUCUUCCGGCGCACAUCACAACAAAGGCUUUCCAAAUUGGAUAGGCGUCUCAUCGGACCCUCAAGGACAACAUGGACACCAACCCUACGUCAGCAGAAGGUCAAGCCCUGUCCGAAGUUAGAGGUCAGGGGUUAAAGGUCAUGUCCUGUUGACCCUGCGUGUGAGAUAAGCGGGCGAGGCUGGGAGCAGUGAACCCCUGGUGGACGGACCUGGCUGUGGACCACGGUUGUUAUUGGCAGUUUGUCAGGCUGAGCAGAGCUGGACAGCAGGAGUGCAACCAGGGGUCUCUGGAGCCGAGGACGGUAUUAAAACAGCCUGGUAAUAAAGGCAAUGGAUUUCUCCACAUCUUCCUCAUCUUCCUCGUCUUCCUCAUUCUUCACUACAUGGAUCUGUGUUGAAGGUUUGACAGUGAAGUGGGAACAGAGUAUGUAUAGAUGUUGGAGGCCAUGGCAAGAUGACGCAGAGACGGGAAUUCAGAAGGAGAUGUGAUUGGUCGGCUUGUUUCACUAUCCAAUUGCGAUCUUGUCUCAUCGCUUCAUCUCCCCAACGGGCUCGGGAGAGGCGAAGGUCGAGUCAUGCGUCCUCUCCGAAAAAUGAUCUGCCGAACCGCGCCUCAUAACCCCGGAAGCCAGGUGCACCAAUGUGUCAGAGGAAAAACCGAAGUCAGCUUGGAGGCACCCGGCCAGGAGUUGCUGGACUCUGAGGCCUCAGGAACAAUUCUUCUUGAUAUAUGUUUUUACUGAACUUAAAAAAAUAUUUUGUAUAAUUCUGUCAAAUGAAUCAGACUUAAAAAGGUUUUUUAAUACCAUGAAGAAGUCCUAUUAAAGCCCAGUGAGUCCCACCAGGACACCGGUGUGUUUUGGACUUCUAACCCCUGUUAAACAUUGUAUGAAACAAAUGUGUGUAUAUACUUACAGCAUUCAUAUACAGUGGGGCAAAAAAGUAUUUAGUCAGCCACCAAUUGUGCAAGUUCUCCCACUUCAAAAGAUGAGAGAGGCCUGUAAUUUUCAUCAUAGGUCCACUUCAACUAUGAUAGACAAAAGGAGAAAAAAAAUCAGGAAAAUUACAUUUUAGGAUUUUUAAUGAAUUUAUUUGCAAAUUAUGGUGGAAAAUAAGUAUUUGGUCACCUACGAACAAGCAAGAUUUCUGGCUCUCACAGACCUGUAAAUUCUUCUUUAAGAGGCUCCUCUGUCCUCCACUCGUUACAUGUAUUAAUGACAAAUACUUAUUUUCCACCAUAAUUUGCAAAUAAAUUCAUUAAAAAUCCUACAAUGUGAAAAAAAGUAUUCUGGAAUUUUUUACAA